rnacentral:rRNA from 1 species
AUGACGGCGCGGGACGAAGAGGAUUUGUAUUUUCGAAACAGUUUCCAGUCUUCAGCAUUGCAGGUGGCUUUAACCAUUACCUCUCUUUCGCGCCAAGAGCAAAAAGGACGGUGUUCAAGUAUGCUACUAGCAACGAUGACUGCUAAAGUUUGCACACAACGGUCAACAUCAAGCUUGCUACUGCAGCUCCAUCCAUCGGCGAUCUUGAUGAUGAUCCGUGUUUGGCGGCCAGGAGAGGGACAUGGACAACCGACAGUUAAGGAUGCAGGCCCAUCACAUCGCAGCUGUAAUGACUGUUGUCCACAUCAUCUUCUCAAAGAGAGAGAGAGAGACUGUCGUCCACAGCAACUGGAUGUUGGCCCAACCACAGUAACCUGGAUGUCUAAGAAAAAUGUAAUUGAGUAG